rnacentral:rRNA from 1 species
CCCUUAGAUGUUCUGGGCCGCACGCGCGCUACACUGAAGGAAUCAGCGUGGCUUUCUCCCUGACCCGAAAGGGUUGGGAAACCCGUUGAAUCUCCUUCGUGAUAGGGAUUGGGGCUUGAAAUUGUUCCCCAUGGACGAGGAAUUCCCAGUAAGCGCGAGUCAUAAGCUCGCGUUGAUUACGUCCCUGCCCUUUGUACACACCGCCCGUCGCUACUACCGAUUGAACGGUUUAGUGAGGGCCUCGGAUUGGUCUCGGCCCGCUCUUUACCGGGCGGCGCCGUUGGUCGAGAAGACGCUCGAACUUGAUCGUUUAGAGGAAGUAAAAGUCGUAACA